AACACAAUCAAAAAAAAAAAAAAAAAAAAAAAAAAAAAAAGCUUUCGGGGAAGUUGUAGGAACAUAAAGAGGAGUGAUGCUGACAUCAAGGGGAGCAUGAGACUCGAUAAGUCCUUUAAAGCGUCAAGAAGGAGAACUUGGAGAUGUGGAAAAUCGGGGUGUGGAGAGUGAGGCUAGGAAGGAUGAACACAUUGUUCAUUAACUAGUAUAGACAGCCGCACCCUCCAGUGUGCCUCUGCUGGCUUUUUGGGGGGCAACUGAGCAGUUAGUAGGGCUUCUGGAGCAGUAGAGGAGAAAGACAGACGUCAGUGUACAGGGCCCCACACUGAUGGGUGCUCUGACAGAAACAUCCUCCAGACUGAGAUGGGAAAUCCAGCAGAAUGUAUUCUGGGUUAUGGGUAACCCUGUGCCAGAGGCUUACGCCAGGAAGGACAGAAGCAGAAUCCAAAGGCAGACAGACAGCGAGGAGCUGGAGAGAGAAAGAAGCAAACAGAAAAUAUGGCCUUUUUCAUAUUAAUCUUGAAGAAAACAACGGUGCUGGUGUGUGGAUAUUCUGGGCCGUGGAGCCAGAGUAAUUGAACAAUUAGGGGUGGAGACAAUUAUUUAAAAUGAGCUCCCAAAGGCCUGGGAUCAAGUGCAGAGGAAGAUAAAUGAGUUUGGGGCAAUAAUGUGUAUAUGACCAAAUAUGGGUAAAACUCAAAUUAUUUACCUUUUAGAGAACAAUAUGAUCCCAUGUUCUUUUUGGAGCUUUUAUCUUUCCUAUAUCCUGCCUGCAUGCUAAUUAGCACCAGUUUGAUCUUGUUUUGUGGCUGGGACAAUGUGUGUCCAAUAUUUUGUGUGCAAUAGACUGAACUGUUCAGGUGCCAAGCCAGUAUCUUCUGCCUUGGACUGGAAUUCCAAAAAUCAACAUGUAUUCUUGCUUCAACCAAAAAGUAUGACUGUUGCAGCUCAAUAAAGGGGAAUGAAUUAGAGCAGCUAAAUCUGGGGAGGCAGACAUUUGGGUGACUGGGUAGAGAAAAAGUAGUCUGCUCACACAUACAUCCUCAUGAGCCCUAGAGUCACAUCCCCACGUCACUGAACCCCCUCUCCCUCACAAGACAGUGUUCUGUGUUCCCUCCAGGAGGGAAUGGAAGCUAGAAAAGACACACCCGAUCAUGCCAACACCACACUAGUGACAAGAAUUAUUGUAGACUUCCAACCAGUGUGGUAGGACCAGUCUAAGAGACUAAGAGCAGAAAAAAGAAUGCAGCUGUCUGGGAGGUUCAGGCCAGCAGCCCCAAGCAGUGGAUAGAAAGAAAGCUGGUUUCUCUGGAGCCCUGGCCACUCUGAACAGGACCCUCCCCAGUGGCAGGCAAACUAUCCAGUGUCAUUGCUUGUGCGUUUUGUGUUUACUCCCUCUGAGGCACAUUUCUAAUGGGAUGUGACAGAGAUGGAUUUGGACAGACAGCAAGCUUGCUGAACACCUCUCCUCACAGCCCUGCCCAACUUUUCUCCCGGAUCCUGUGACUAGUCUCUUCAUACUGCUGAUCUCUUGUGUGAUUUUGUGGACCAAGGCUGUGUUUUAAUGAGCAAAGCUUUGAAUAGUGUCUUAAUAGCUGAUACGGUGGUGUCCACAUUGGAGGUGUUCCUGAGCUAUGUGCCCUACAGGAUUCGCCUUGAGAGGCUGUCUACAUCUCCAUUCACUCCAGUGCUCUGCUCAGCUGGCCGCACACAGCCGCACACAAGCAGAUCGUCUUCUGUUUAGUUGUUACUUGUUGAUUGACUGGGAAAUACCUUUGGUGGUGUUCACAACAAACACUGAGAGCACCUACCCUUGCAUUUAGUCCCCUUUUGCCCACAUACAAGUAUUUCUAAAGGACAAGCACUUGGAACUGUUAGGUUGUACGGAGACACAUCCUGAAUUCAGAUAAAAACAGCUACAGUCUUCUCCAGAAUACCUGGUUCAAUCUCCUGCCAGAGCGUCUCCACCAAUUGGAUGGGUACAAAUACUGUCACAGGUUAGCGUUCCCUGUGUAGUGCCACAGCUGAAGCCUUUGUUUACCUCUGGAUUGUAUGCCCAAAUCCCUCCUGCUUCUCUCCCUCUGCCUGCCUCCCUCUCCCUUCCUCCCUUCCUUUCAUUCCCUCUCUCCCUCCUGCUCUCUCUCCUCUCUCUCUCUCUUUCUUCCAUUAUUUGAGACAGUAUCUCACUAUGGACCCCAUCCUAGCCUUCAAUCUCAGUCUACUGAGUACUGGAAUUAUAGGUAUGAUGCCACUUCCUGCCCAUUUUUUUUCUUUCUUUUUUAAAAGAUACUUCAUCUUUCAUUGGUUUUUGGUUCUUCAUCUGUUUCAUGCUUUUAUAUACUAAUGCUUUCUCGUUAGUGACAUAUUUUUCUACAUUGUGAUUCUUUUGCCAUUUAGUUGAAUUGCUUUUAGAAAAAUUUAAGAUUUUGAUACAGUCAUAUGUUGGCUUUACUUUUACACCUUCUUUUGGCAAUCUUAAAAGCCUUUAGUAGGGAAGUGGUGGCACACGCCUUUAACCCCAGCACUCAGGAGGCACAGGCAGGCAGAUCGCUGAGAGUUCAAGGCCAACCUGGUCUACAAAGCCUAGGACAGCCAAGGCUACACAAACCCUGUUUAAAGAACAAAAAAGAAGUCUUCUUUAUAUUAAUUUCAAGGCAUUUUUCCUGUACUUUCUUCCCUGGCAUUUAUAGCUUACUUAUAUAUUUAUGUUUAUAUAUAAUUUUAAAUAUAUAUUUGUAUCAUGUAUAAAUAAUAAAUUCCAUAUGCACGAUUCUUAUUGUAUAAUGUCACCACCCUACUAUUUUGUGGAAUGUAGAUGGUGUCAUCUAAGCCUGCUCCCUGUACCUAGUGCCACCCCACCGCACUGUGUGAGGCCAUCCCUGGUCCAUGGUGCCUGUCUCCUCCCAGGCUGCUGCUAAGCUGUGGUCAGAGCAGAACUGACUCACCUUCUCUGAUGUGCAGAGCUGCUUUGGCCAUCCUUGCACGUGAGUCCUACUGUAUGAAUGUUAAAAUUUAUCAGUUUCAAUAGAAUUUUUGCUAGGAGAUUUUGUUGGAGUUACACUGAAUUCAUGGAUAAAUCUGAGCGUAAUCAGCCUCUUUCCUGUGUGCUCACGGCACCCUCCAAGCCCAGGGCAUCUUGUCCCUCUGGAGAAGAUGGCUGCUUUCUCUGGGUCAUCCUGCCUUUUGUUUCUUGGUGGAUUUAACCCUCAGCCCUUUUACAGGUUUUUUAGCAGCUCUGGCUGGCGGGUCCCCUGUGCUUCUGUUUGCUUGACCCACGGUCUCCAUCUCAACCUUGCACUAAUCAUGAGCUUGCUCUGCAGACACCCAAAGUAAACUUCCUCCCUGGGUACAAACACACAAAAAAGAGCACCGCCUAACACAGAGCUGGUAUAAUUAGCCGAAAACAAAUUAGAAUUGUUCCAAAUUACACUUUAAAUAAGCAAGCAAAGCAUGAAUACAUUCUCCUGUUUAGAGGUGGAGUGGUAUGGUCCCAGCUGCUGUCUCUGCCACCUGAGAUUGAGGCCUUCUCCUCCAGGAAGCCUUUGUUCAGAGCUUCAGGGAUUUCUUUUCAAAGUAACACACAUCUUAGCAAUGAUGAGGGUAUCCAGAAUGAAUGUGGCCCGGUCAUGGAUGUUACACGGUACUCUUCUCAUUUACCCUCUACCUGGGUCAUACUCGUCUGUGUUCUGUUUUCCCUUCCAAACAUUACCCUGAAGUUAGUUUUCCUCAGUCAGGAAGAGCACAGCAGAGAACACCAAGGCACAGGCUCCAGAAACACUCUCCAGGGCCUAGGCUGGCUACUGUCUGAGGUUUUGGUUGUUUUUGAUUUUUGAAAUAAGAUUUCAUUGUGUAGCUGAGGUUGACCUUGAGCUGCUGAUCUCACUGCUUCCCCCUCCAAGUUUUAGAGCUACAGGCCCCCACAUCCAGCCAGACUUAGCCUCUAACCUUGCCUUCUGAAGGCCUUCCCUUCACCAGCCUAUCAAGUAUUUUCUCACUUUUUUCCUCUGAAAACUCCCUGCUGCUUUUCUUACAUUUGUAUCAUAUUAUUGUUUCCCAGCUCUCACAUUUAACACAUCACUGCAGGCGAGGCUUAUUAGAGUGUGGUAUUCGUGUUUAGUUUUGAUACAUUUCAAAAUGGAUGACUAAGUUUUCCAAUACAACUUACUGGCCAUGCUGCAUUUCCUCUAGCAGUUUUGGCUUAUUUCCUUUGUUCCACACAGCUCCCAACUACGCGCAACACAGGCUCUUUCCAGUCAUCCAUGAGCUCCAUGUUGCUUUGAUAACAGCAAAAGCAGUCCACUCUUGUUCUGUGGCAUCAUCUUGGUCUUGUAUAUUGUCACACAGUUUACAUUUUUGAACCAGCUGCUCAAGCUUUAAAACCUUGCUCAGAGUUUUAGGGAAUCCGUGGCUGAAUCUGAGAGAAAUGGACAUCUUCAUCCCGUAGCACAUACGGUGCCUGCUGGUUCCAGGCGUCUUCCUGCCUUUGAAAAGUUUGGUGUUUUUCCUCUGGUGACAGUCUUGCCUACUUCGUAUUUUAUUCUUAGGUACUUAAGGUUUUGCUAGCACCCCUCUGCUUCUGUUUGCUUGACCCAUGGUCUCCAUCUCAACCUUUCACUAAUCAGUGAGCUUGCUCUGCAGACACACACAGUAAACUUUCUUCCUCCCUGGGCACAAACACACGAGCACCACCAAACACAGAGCUGGUAUAAUUAGCCGAAAACAAAUUAGAAUCGUUCCAAAUUACACUUUAAUUAAGCAAGCAAGGCAUGAAUACAUUCUCCUGUUUAGAGGUGGAAUGGUAUGGACCCAGCUGCUGUCACCUCUACCAAAGUCUUAUAUCCCAUCUCCUCCACAGCUCUGUGUAUCUGCUUCUGGGGAGUGUGUGAAACCAUGCUGGCAUGAGCUUGCCGGAGGCUGCAUCUUGACUCACUUUAGAAUCUUUACCACACAGCCAUGCUGAUUCCUAAAGCUCAUGUCCUUUAACACAGCGGAACACUUGUUCCCUCCAUUCUCAUUCUCCGUCUCCAGGCUCUACCAACAUUUAGUCGGUUCUUUGUCUCUACUCUGUUGUGAGCAGCCCUCUAACUUGGCAGUGAUGAAGAGGUAGGAUGCUGGGUCUGCACGCUGUCAGUUUCAUCAGACUUAACCGGUGCCCGCCAUGGUUUCUGUACCAGGCAAGCAUCUAGCCAGAGGCUGACUUUAAUCCCCACACCGUGAGCAAUUCUCAGUGUUUGCCAAUAGGAGAGGUGAAAAGUUAAAUCCCAUUUUAAAUUUGUAUUUUGCUGUUUGCCAGUAAGGUUUUCUUGUGUACAUUGGGCAUUUGUAUUAUUCCUGCCACUCUGAACUGCCUAUUUUUGCAUUAGGCUCUUCAUUGGCCUGUAGAACAUCCUCAUGUAAUCUGGAUAGUAGACCUUUGUGCCUGUUGGACAAAUAUUUUUUUUGGCUCUCAGCUCUUUGUAGAAUCCUAUGUUAGACAGAAGUUACCAAUUUUGAUCUAAUGUAUUUCCUCAAUCUCCUUUAGUCCUUUUUGAAUAUAUAUCAUGUUUGGUUUAAAUGAAACCUUUAUACUUUCCUAAUGGUUUCACAGUUUUUGUUCUUGGCUCUUUCUUGCACCUGGAAUAUAUUUCUAUGAUUGAACUGAGACAGCAUCUAACCUUUCUCAAAACGGACAGCCGAUUAUCGGAACACAGUAGAAUGGAUCGGCUCCUCCCUCCUUUCUCUGCUGCUCUGAAGUGUGGCUUCCUCUCAACUGAGGCCCUAUUGCUAGACAGUUUCAAGGCCCCUGGCCUUUUUUGGUUUUGUUUUGGGUUUUUUGUUGUUGUUGUUGUUUUUAACUAAUCUGUUUAUUCCUGUCAGCACCAGACUUUAAUUUGCCAUUGCUUUUUACUACCUUUUGCUGUCUGGUAAGUAAAAUGCCACAUUUCACCAUGCUUCCCUACAGCUGUCUUAGCUUACUCCUCCACACGGGUUUAAAGCUGCUUGUCAAAUGCUGUGAAUUCAGAGAUUAACUCCGGGGAAGCUGACAUCAGUGCAAUACUCUGCCAUUCACAGCAGGAGCGAGGCAGAACUGUUUGUCCAUCAUGUCUUCCACACACCCAGCUUCUCCUAAGAACCCUGUGGCUUUCCUCGUGGGUUUAGUGCUUUGGUUUCCAUCAUUGUUGUGAAUGAGUUUCCACUGCCCCCUCUCCUGUUUUGUUUGGCUUUUGUUUGCUGCAUUUCUUUUUAAUCUACUUUCUAAUGGCUGCACUUCAUUCACAGACACACACAAAGUAAACGUUCUUCCUCCCUGGGCACAAACACGCAAGCACAGCUGAGCACAGAGCCAGAGUAAUUGGCUGAAAAUGAAUGGGAAUUUUUUCAAAUUAAAGUUUAAUGACACAAGCGAAA